rnacentral:rRNA from 1 species
AUUCCAGCUCCAAUAGCGUAUAUUAAAGUUGUUGCAGUUAAAAAGCUCGUAGUUGGAUUUCUGGUUUGAUGCCCUGGCCCGCUGCUAUUUUGGUAGUGUGUGCCGGUUGUGCGUCUGCCAUCCUUCUAGGGAACGUUCCUUCUCUUCACUGAGCCGGGUUCGUGAUCUAGAUCGUUUACUUUGAAAAAAUUAGAGUGUUUAAAGCAGGCUUUUGCUAUGAAUACAUUAGCAUGGAAUAAUAAUCUAGGACUUCGGUCAUAUUUUGUUGGUUUCUGUAACUGAAGUAAUGAUUAAUAGGAAUAGUUGGGGGCGUUUAUAUUCCGUUGUCAGAGGUGAAAUUCUUGGAUUUACGGAAGAUAAACUACUGCGAAAGCAUUCGCCAAGGAUGUUUUCAUCA